rnacentral:rRNA from 1 species
AUACGUAGGGUGCAAGCGUUAUCCGGAAUUAUUGGGCGUAAAGAGCUCGUAGGCGGUUUGUCGCGUCUGCUGUGAAACCCCGAGGCUCAACCUCGGGCCUGCAGUGGGUACGGGCAGACUAGAGUGCGGUAGGGGAGAUUGGAAUUCCUGGUGUAGCGGUGGAAUGCGCAGAUAUCAGGAGGAACACCAAUGGCGAAGGCAGAUCUCUGGGCCGUAACUGACGCUGAGGAGCGAAAGCAUGGGGAGCGAACAGGAUUAGAUACCCUGGUAGUCCAUGCCGUAAACGUUGGGAACUAGAUGUAGGGUCCAUUCCACGGAUUCUGUGUCGCAGCUAACGCAUUAAGUGCCCCGUCUGGGGAGUACGGCCGCAAGGCUAAA